rnacentral:rRNA from 1 species
CCAGCACAGGUGCUGCAUGGCUGUCGUCAGCUCGUGUCGUGGGAUGUUGGGUUAAGUCCCGCAACGAGCGCAACCCUUAUCCCUAGUUGCCAUCAGGUAAAGCUGGGAACUCUGGGGAGACUGCCGGUGAUAAACCGGAGGAAGGCGGGGAUGACGUCAAGUCCUCAUGGCCCUUACAUCCCGGGCUACACACGUGCUACAAUGGCAGGUACAGAGGGCUGCGAAGCCGCGAGGUGGAGCGAAUCCCAGAAAACCUGUCUCAGUCCGGAUUGAAGUCUGCAACUCGACUUCAUGAAGGCGGAAUCGCUAGUAACCGCGAAUCAGCAGGUCGCGGUCGAAUACGUUCCCGGGCCUU